rnacentral:lncRNA from 1 species
AACUUCACCUAUCUUCCAUUUUUCAUCAAAAGAACAUGAAACAACAAUCAUUUCCUUCAUUUUAAUUCAUGACCAAAUGCUCACAACACAACCAAAAACCAAAAUAUGCUUCAAGAGCUAAGGUAGAAUCAAGAAGAACUCAUGAACAUCAAGAUAGAAGCAAACUACCAUGAACCUACCUUCAAUUUGCUUCCCCAAGUGACCG